GGCCUAACACAUGCAAGUCGAGGGGUAACAGAAGUAGCAAUACUUGCUGACGACCGGCGCACGGGUGAGUAACGCGUAUGCAACCUACCUUUGACUGGAGAAUAGCCCGAAGAAAUUCGGAUUAAUGCUCCAUGAGACCACAAUACCGCAUGAUAUAGUGGUAAAAGCUCCGGCGGUCAAAGAUGGGCAUGCGUGCCAUUAGUUAGUUGGUGAGGUUACGGCUCACCAAGACAACGAUGGCUAGGGGGUCUGAGAGGAUGAUCCCCCACACUGGUACUGAGACACGGACCAGACUCCUACGGGAGGCAGCAGUGAGGAAUAUUGGUCAAUGGACGCAAGUCUGAACCAGCCAUGCCGCGUGCAGGAUGAAUGCCCUAUGGGUUGUAAACUGCUUUUCUACAAGAAGAAACUUCCUGAUGUAUCAGGAACUGACGGUAUUGUAGGAAUAAGCAUCGGCUAACUCCGUGCCAGCAGCCGCGGUAAUACGGAGGAUGCAAGCGUUAUCCGGAUUCAUUGGGUUUAAAGGGUGCGUAGGCGGGGUAGUAAGUCAGUGGUGAAAGCCUGCGGCUUAACCGUAGAAUUGCCAUUGAUACUGCUAUUCUUGAGUGCAGUUGAGGUAGGCGGAAUGUGUAAUGUAGCGGUGAAAUGCUUAGAUAUUACACAGAACACCGAUUGCGUAGGCAGCUUACUAAACUGUAACUGACGCUGAGGCACGAAAGCGUGGGGAGCGAACAGGAUUAGAUACCCUGGUAGUCCACGCAGUAAACGAUGCUCACUCGCUGUUGGCAAUAGAUCGUCAGCGGCUAAGGGAAACCGAUAAGUGAGCCACCUGGGGAGUACGAUCGCAAGAUUUGAAACUCAAAGGAAUUGACGGGGGCCCGCACAAGCGGUGGAACAUGUGGUUUAAUUCGAUGAUACGCGAGGAACCUUACCUGGGCUUAAAUGUACGAUGCAUAAGUGUGAAAGCACUUUUUCCUUCGGGACUUUGUACAAGGUGCUGCAUGGUUGUCGUCAGCUCGUGCCGUGAGGUGUCGGGUUAAGUCCCAUAACGAGCGCAACCCCUAUUGUUAGUUACCAGCGCGCAAAGGCGGGGACUCUAGCGAAACUGCCGGUGUAAACCGCGAGGAAGGUGGGGAUGACGUCAAAUCAGCACGGCCCUUAUGUCCAGGGCUACACACGUGUUACAAUGGCCGGUACAGCGGGCAGCGAGGCAGCGAUGCCGAGCGAAUCUCGAAAGCCGGUCCCAGUUCGGAUUGGAGUCUGCAACCCGACUCCAUGAAGGUGGAAUCGCUAGUAAUCGCGCAUCAGCCAUGGCGCGGUGAUACGUUCCCGGGCCUUGUACACACCGCCCGUCAAGCCAUGGAAGUCUGGGGUGCC
rnacentral:rRNA from 1 species